CCUGUAACUCAGCCCCCACCUCACCUCCCUGCAUCCUCCCAGCAUCUCCGCUGGAGGCCCAGAGGUUGGCAGAGGGAAGGGCCACAGCUGUCCUGGCUCCACGGGCAAUGGCGGGACAGUCCUUCACCUCUCUGGGCCUUGUUUUCUCAAACUGAAAUGGGAAAGGAUGACUCCGGCCUAGGACCUUCAAGGGCCUCAAAAGGCCCUGGGCCUUGCGUGCUCCAGGUAAGGUCAAAUCCUCUACAUCUCUGAAGUGAGCUGACAUGGUAGAGUUGCUGUCUGGCUAGCUGCAGUCCCAACAUCAUUGCCAUGACCUUCACUUCAAAAGCGCCAGCAUCAAAUCCUUCAGAAGAGUGUCAGCAGCUUGGAAGAAAACCCUAGAGGCAAAAUCAGAUCCCUUUUUAGCCCUGGGACCCAAAUGGUGGGAAACCCCAGGGGAAGGCAACCAGGCUUGUCAGUGAUACUCCCAAAGCGGAGUGAAAAGUCAGCUCCACUUCCUUUGCACAAUUGCAAAGCUGGCUUCAGAGCUCCUGCUGGUAUACGACUGUUUUAUAGAAUGUUUUGAGCAGUGCCGCUUUCCCUAGAACUCUCAAGGGCUCAGAGGAGGAGGUGGCAGGGAGACGCAGACAUCAGGACUCUCAGACCAAAUGAUUCACACGAGUCGAACUCUAAAUAUGAAGGAGUUUUCUGAACAUGGUAA